UAGCUGACUUUGAGAAUGGUACU
rnacentral:siRNA from 1 species